AGAGGACAUACAAAGAAUGGUACAGUAAUCCUCAUAAGAUUUGAGUCCCUUUCAGUAUUUCCUGCAAUGGAAAUAUUACUGUGCUAAGUGUGUUGUGUCACAAAGAAGACAUUUUGAAGAUUAGAUAUGGAACUUUUAAAGGUCAUACGGAUCUAGCACAUGGGUACCAUUUUCCAAGUAUUCUCACUGAGCGACACUCUUGCUGGUGGAGUCUGGAGUGUUCCAGUUACAGGGACCCGUGUGAGCGGUACUCCCGGUGACGGGGAGAAGAUGGGACUUCCCGUCUCUCGCUGAUGCUGGGAAGAAUGUGACUCAACCCGGCGGGAUGUGAGGUGCUUCUCUUUGUGGAGAGAGCUGCCCUCCUCCACAGUCUCUAAACUUUGGAUUUAGUAUUUAAUUCAAUCCUCUUCUAUGUAAUGCCAUUAUUUUUUUUUUCUACACCACCACAUUUUCUUAUUACUAUUACUAUUAUUUUGUCCUACCAUAAUUUAAGCUUUAUUUAUUAUUAUUAUUAUUUUUUUACAUAUUGCACUGCUACAAUAAUAUUUUCUAUUACCAUAAUUUUCUCCACCACAAUUUUCGUCUCUUAACAUUUUGUAGCGGGGCCAUAUGACCGCGAUGUUGCGGCACAUAAUUUUUAAACCAGUCAAUCAAUUUCCCCCAUAAACAGCUUAGCUAGUCUAAUUCCAGCACCUAUACUUUUCAUUUCUAGCCCUCAUUUCUUCUAUCAGCGAUAUCAUCAAGAUGAGUUUCACUUGCUAAAAAAUAUCAACUUACAGUAAUUUCACUUUUCUCUAAUUUUGGAAUACAUAUAUAUUUUGUUGCUCUUGGGUAGUACCCCUCUUACAUUAAAAAAAGAAAAAAAGUUAAUCUGGGAAAUCCACCUCUCUCCAGACACACACCCACACACACACACACACACACACACACACACACACACACCUCGCGUAAAGUCGUUCUUCACAACACUUUUUUUUUUUUUUAAGCUGUGGCUGUUGCAAUAGAUUACAGCAUAUGUUUCUACAGAUGUGAAAUUAUUAAAUAGCAGUUUGU